rnacentral:rRNA from 1 species
AACGAACGCUGGCGGCAUGCCUAACACAUGCAAGUCGAACGAGACCUUCGGGUCUAGUGGCGCACGGGUGCGUAACGCGUGGGAACCUGCCCUUAGGUUCGGAAUAACUCCCCGAAAGGGGUGCUAAUACCGGAUAAUGUCUUCAGACCAAAGAUUUAUCGCCUUUGGAUGGGCCCGUGUUGGAUUAGCUAGUUGGUAGGGUAAAAGCCUACCAAGGCGACGAUCCAUAGCUGGUCUGAGAGGAUGAUCAGCCACACUGGGACUGAGACACGGCCCAGACUCCUACGGGAGGCAGCAGUGGGGAAUAUUGGACAAUGGGCGAAAGCCUGAUCCAGCAAUGCCGCGUGAGUGAUGAAGGCCUUAGGGUUGUAAAGCUCUUUUACCCGGGAUGAUAAUGACAGUACCGGGAGAAUAAGCUCCGGCUAACUCCGUG